rnacentral:rRNA from 1 species
AUUGAACGCUGGCGGCAUGCCUUACACAUGCAAGUCGAACGGCAGCACGGGUGCUUGCAUCUGGUGGCGAGUGGCGAACGGGUGAGUAAUACAUCGGAACAUGUCCUGUAGUGGGGGAUAGCCCGGCGAAAGCCGGAUUAAUACCGCAUACGAUCUACGGAUGAAAGCGGGGGACCUUCGGGCCUCGCGCUAUAGGGUUGGCCGAUGGCUGAUUAGCUAGUUGGUGGGGUAAAGGCCUACCAAGGCGACGAUCAGUAGCUGGUCUGAGAGGACGACCAGCCACACUGGGACUGAGACACGGUCCAGACUCCUACGGGAGGCAGCAGUGGGGAAUUUUGGACAAUGGGCGAAAGCCUGAUCCAGCAAUGCCGCGUGUGUGAAGAAGGCCUUCGGGUUGUAAAGCACUUUUGUCCGGAAAGAAAUCCUUGGCCCUAAUACGGUCGGGGGAUGACGGUACCGGAAGAAUAAGCACCGGCUAACUACGUG